CUGCCGGACGACGCGCUAGCCCAAAUCCUCCGCCGCCUACCGCCGCGCGACCUCGCCGUGUCCCGCUGCGUGCGCAAGGCGUGGUGCGCCAUCGUCGACGGCCGUCGCCUGCUGCUCCGCAAGAUGCUCCCGCACGCCGUGCGCGGCCUCUUCUUCAACUACGGUGAC
rnacentral:rRNA from 1 species